CCUAGGGGGGGCAGCAGUGGGGAAUAUUGGACAAUGGGCGAAAGCCUGAUCCAGCCAUGCCGCGUGUGUGAAGAAGGCCUUCGGGUUGUAAAGCACUUUCAGUGGGGAAGAAAGCCUUGGGGCUAAUACCCUCGAGGAAGGACAUCACCCACAGAAGAAGCACCGGCUAACUCCGUGCCAGCAGCCGCGGUAAUACGGAGGGUGCGAGCGUUAAUCGGAAUUACUGGGCGUAAAGCGCGCGUAGGCGGUCUGAUAAGCCGGUUGUGAAAGCCCCGGGCUCAACCUGGGAACGGCAUCCGGAACUGUCAGGCUAGAGUGCAGGAGAGGAAGGUAGAAUUCCCGGUGUAGCGGUGAAAUGCGUAGAGAUCGGGAGGAAUACCAGCGGCGAAGGCGACCUUCUGGACUGACACUGACGCUGAGGUGCGAAAGCGUGGGUAGCAAACAGGAUUAGAUACCCUAGUAGUC
rnacentral:rRNA from 1 species